UGGGGGAUAUUGCACAAUGGGCGAAAGCCUGAUGCAGCGACGCCGCGUGGGGGAUGAAGGCUUUCGGGUUGUAAACCUCUUUCGCUAUCGAACAAGGCCCGCUUAGGGUGGGUUGAGGGUAGGUGGAGAAGAAGCGCCGGCUACUACGUGCCAGCAGCCGCGGUAAUACGUAGGGCGCGAGCGUUGUCCGGAAUUAUUGGGCGUAAAGGGCUUGUAGGCGGCUUGUUGCGCCUGCUGUGAAAACGCGGGGCUUAACUUCGCGCGUGCAGUGGGUACGGGCAGGCUUGAGUGUGGUAGGGGUGACUGGAAUGCCAGGUGUAGCGGUGGAAUGCGCAGAUAUCUGGAGGAACACCGAUGGCGAAGGCAGGUCACUGGGCCAUUACUGACGCUGAGGAGCGAAAGCAUGGGUAGCGAACAGG
rnacentral:rRNA from 1 species